rnacentral:rRNA from 1 species
GCAGUAGCCGCGGGAAUACGGAGGGUGCAAGCGUUAUCCGGAUUUAUUGGGUUUAAAGGGUCCGUAGGCGGAUCUGUAAGUCAGUGGUGAAAUCUCACAGCUUAACUGUGAAACUGCCAUUGAUACUGCAGGUCUUGAGUAAAUUUGAAGUGGCUGGAAUAAGUAGUGUAGCGGUGAAAUGCAUAGAUAUUACUUAGAACACCAAUUGCGAAGGCAGGUCACUAAGAUUUAACUGACGCUGAUGGACGAAAGCGUGGGGAGCGAACAGGAUUAGAUACCCCAGUAGUCCCUGUCUCUUAUAC